rnacentral:rRNA from 1 species
AUUGAACGCUGGCGGAAUGCUUUACACAUGCAAGUCGAACGGCAGCACGGACUUCGGUCUGGUGGCGAGUGGCGAACGGGUGAGUAACAUAUCGGAACGUAUCCAAUAAUGGGGGAUAACGAGUCGAAAGAUUCGCUAAUACCGCAUACGCCCUACGGGGGAAAGCUGGGGACCUUCGGGCCUGGCGUUAAUGGAGCGGCCGAAAUCUGAUUAGCUAGUUGGUGAGGUAAAGGCCCACCAAGGCGACGAUCAGUAGGUGGUCUGAGAGGACGACCAGCCAACCUGGAACUGAAGCACAGUCCAGACUCCGACGGGAGGCAGCAGUGGGGAAUUUUGGACAAUGGGCGCAAGCCUGAUCCAGCCAUUCCGCGUGAGUGAAGAAGGCCUUCCGGUUGUAAAGCUCUUUCGCAAGGGAAGAAAACUUAGCCACUAACAUUGGUUGAGGUUGACGGUACCUUGAUAAGAAGCACCGGCUAACUACGUGCCAGCAGCCGCAGUAA